UUAUAUACCCCUAAAAAGUUUCCGACUUUCCGAUUUACCCUUCUUAGAAGGCUAAUAUUGAAAAUACCCUUUCUACGUUCCAACCUAUUUCUAAUAUACCCCUAGAGUUAAAAUCUGUUAAUUAACUCUGUUAUCUCUGUAAAAUUUCUAUUUUGUCCUUUCAAAUAUACUCUUCCACUAAAAAGUUUCCGGCUUUUCGAUUUACCCCUCUUAGAAGGCUAAUAUUGAAAAUACCCUUUCUACGUUCCAGCCUAUUUCUAAUAUACCCCUAGAGUUAAAAUUUAUUAAUUAACUCUAUUAUCUCUGUAAAAUUACUAUUUUGUCCUUUCAAAUAUACCCUUCCACCAUCACCGACUUUCUUAUUUGCCCUUAAAGUCAAGG
rnacentral:lncRNA from 1 species